rnacentral:rRNA from 1 species
AUACAUGCAGUCGAACGCUUCUUUCCUCCCGAGUGCUUGCACUCAAUUGGAAAGAGGAGUGGCGGACGGGUGAGUAACACGUGGGUAACCUACCCAUCAGAGGGGGAUAACACUUGGAAACAGGUGCUAAUACCGCAUAACAGUUUAUGCCGCAUGGCAUAAGAGUGAAAGGCGCUUUCGGGUGUCGCUGAUGGAUGGACCCGCGGUGCAUUAGCUAGUUGGUGAGGUAACGGCUCACCAAGGCCACGAUGCAUAGCCGACCUGAGAGGGUGAUCGGCCACACUGGGACUGAGACACGGCCCAGACUCCUACGGGAGGCAGCAGUAGGGAAUCUUCGGCAAUGGACGAAAGUCUGACCGAGCAACGCCGCGUGAGUGAAGAAGGUUUUCGGAUCGUAAAACUCUGUUGUUAGAGAAGAACAAGGACGUUAGUAACUGAACGUCCCCUGACGGUAUCUAACCAGAAAGCCACGGCUAACUACGUGCCAGCAGCCGCGGUAAUACGUAGGUGGCAAGCGUUGUCCGGAUUUAUUGGGCGUAAAGCGAGCGCAGGCGGUUUCUUAAGUCUGAUGUGAAAGCCCCCGGCUCAACCGGGGAGGGUCAUUGGAAACUGGGAGACUUGAGUGCAGAAGAGGAGAGUGGAAUUCCAUGUGUAGCGGUGAAAUGCGUAGAUAUAUGGAGGAACACCAGUGGCGAAGGCGGCUCUCUGGUCUGUAACUGACGCUGAGGCUCGAAAGCGUGGGGAGCAAACAGGAUUAGAUACCCUGGUAGUCCACGCCGUAAACGAUGAGUGCUAAGUGUUGGAGGGUUUCCGCCCUUCAGUGCUGCAGCAAACGCAUUAAGCACUCCGCCUGGGGAGUACGACCGCAAGGUUGAAACUCAAAGGAAUUGACGGGGGCCCGCACAAGCGGUGGAGCAUGUGGUUUAAUUCAAAGCAACGCGAAGAACCUUACCAGGUCUUGACAUCCUUUGACCACUCUAGAGAUAGAGCUUUCCCUUCGGGGACAAAGUGACAGGUGGUGCAUGGUUGUCGUCAGCUCGUGUCGUGAGAUGUUGGGUUAAGUCCCGC